rnacentral:rRNA from 1 species
AAAAGCUUUCUUUAAUUAAAUAAUUGAAUUUAAUUUUUUAGUGCAAAAGCAAAAAUAAAAAUUAGGGACAAGAAGACCCUAUGAAUUUUUUAUUAAAUUUUAUAAAACUUUAUAUAAAAUUUAAUUUAAUUGGGGUGAUGGAAAAAGAAUAAAUAUCUUUUUUUUAAAGAAAAUUGGUUCCGUUUUUAGCGAUUAAAUGAAAAAAAUACUCUAGGGAUAACAGCGUAAUAAUUUUGGAUAGUUCAUAUAGAUAAAAUAGUUUGCGACCUCGAUGUUGGAUUAGGAUUCUUUUUUGGUGAAGAAGUUAAAAAAAGAAGUUUGUUCAACUUAUAAUUUCCUACUUGAUCUGAGUUCAGACCGG